rnacentral:miRNA from 1 species
UAUACCAUUUGCAAGAGUAGACAACCCAAGGUAUUGCAAGUGGGGCAUGUCCAGUGUUUAGUAGCCACUUAGUUACAAACACUGGCCAAAGUUAACGUUCAUAUUUGUUUUUUGCAUUUUUCCACACAAAAACAAAUAUGAAAGCUAAUUUUUGGCUAGUGUUUGUGACUAAGUGGCUACUAAAAAAGACUGGACAUUCCCCAUAUUGAAUACUCUUGCUUCUCUACUUUUGCAAAUUGUAUU